UCCGGGCACCCCCGCGCCCGCCGCAGCCGCUCGGUUGCCGUCCCCCUGCCCCCAGCGCUGGUGCCGGUCCCGGUGCGGCGGGAAGGGCGCUGACGGAAAGGGCUUCCGGCAGCUCCACGCCCCGGGAUUCCCCGCCGCGGCGGGGUCCCGCCCGCUCUCGGCUCCGCUCCGCUCCGCUCCCGCCUCGGCCGCGCCGCUCCCCGCAGAUGCGGAGCGUCUGCCGCCGGCCCGCCUCCGCCGCCUGAGCGUCCCGGGGCCGGCCCGGACAGCGGCUCCCCGCCUUCCCGCUGCCUGCGGGGCGGCAAGGUGGGCGGCGGGCCGCGCCGGGCGCCGCUCCCGCUGAAACGGGCGCUGGUUUUUGCGAGGUCUGUCCCGUCCGCCGGCGGCCCGGCCCUGCCCUGCCCGGCCCUGCUGCCGGCCCUCCCUCCGCCAGCUGCCCUGCCUUGCCCUCUCCUCCCUGCCUGCUCUCUCUCCGCGUGACGGACGCCGCGCUGUGGGGGCUGCGCCGGUGGGAGCUUGCGGGCCUUGCCUGCAUUUCUGAACACCUCUGUAAAAAAAAGGGACACAGAAAGUAACUAGGGCGCUGAUACGUUUUUAUGGCCGAUAAUGAAAUGUAGCAAAGUGGUAAAGAGAUUUAAAUUAGACUGGAUUAUACAUGGAGCUGGGUGGCAAGCAACUUAAAACCCCAGAUACGCUGGUAAGCCAAGAUAGCAGGCAGGCAGGCAGGUAGGUGAGUGCAGGGGAUCCCAAAGGAUGGCAGUGACCCCAGGAAGGCUGAUGGACUUACAGUAGUCCUGUGGCACAAUGAACACUGAUGCUGUUGGAGAAAGCCAGCUAUAAAGAUGAGUUGGCCGCUGGGUUGUUUUUUUCUUCAGUGGGGAGGAAGGCACAAUAGCGCUGUCAUUCCCAUGUCUUAACAGGGUAGGUAGAUGCCAUUUGCUGCCUUUCCUUGCUGCUGUCUGAUAGCGGCUGCUAGGGGUGUGUUGUGUAUCUUUGAGUCUGGCAGAGUUUUGUACAUUCAUUACGUAUAGGUGUGGCUAUUUCAUAAAGAAAAUUGCUGAUCAGAACCUGUGUGGAAGAGAUAUGUGAAAAUUCGUGAGUUAUAACCUAUAUUAAAGGAAUAUUCAGCCAAAACACCAGUUUGGCUUGCUGUGUGAUAAAUCAGUUGGGUGCUUUCAGCGUCAAGAAAAGUCAACAUGUCUCGAGAGACUGGAAGUGAAGCGCAGCAGUCUCAAGGCGCCCAACAGUCACAGAGUGGUACCAGUUCCUCUUCCAGUGGGUCACAGAGUACUAGUCAGUCUUCCUCAAGUUCUGGGACUCUCAGUUCUUUGGACACACUUCCCACUCAGGAGCUUCCAUCGAUCCCUGAGGACCAGGAAUCUGAAGAGCUUGUUCCUCAGCCUUGGGGUCGACUCUUUGCACUUGGAAAAGGUUUCAGCAACUGUGACUGCGUGAAUGAUGAAUACUGGUUUGGAAGAGACAAAAGCUGUGAUUAUAGUUUUUCUAAGCUAGGACUGUCUGAGACUGGCUUCUACCAAAACUAUAGCAAGAAGCAUUUCCGAAUUUUCAGGGAAAUGGGUCCAAAAAAUUCCUAUGUUGCCUACAUUGAAGACCACAGUGCAAAUGGAACUUUCAUUAAUAGACAGCUCAUUGGAAAAGGGAAGAGGCUUCCACUGACUCACAACUCUGAAAUUGCACUGUCUAUACAGACUAAUAAGGUGUUUGUAUUUUCUGAUCUUAUGGUGGAUGAUCAGUUGGUGUUUCCUAGAGAAUUCAGAGAGAAAUAUAUCAUGUCAAAGACUUUGGGAAGUGGUGCCUGUGGAGAAGUCAAACUGGCAUUUGAGAAGAGCACUUGUAACAAAGUUGCGGUAAAGAUAAUCAAUAAACGGAAGUUUAUGGCAAGUGGUAUUAGAGAGACAAACCCAGCUUUUAAUAUCAAUACAGAAAUUGAAAUUUUGAAGAAAAUAGAUCAUCCUUGCUUAAUCAAGAUCAAAAACUUCUUUGAAGCAGAGGAUUACUACAUUGUUUUGGAACUGAUGGAAGGAGGAGAAUUGUAUGACAGAGUGUCAAGGCCAAUCAAGAUGAAAGAAGCUACCUGCAAGUUGUAUUUUUAUCAGAUGCUGCUGGCUGUAAAGUAUCUUCAUGACAAUGGAAUUAUACACCGAGAUCUAAAGCCAGAGAAUGUACUACUUUCAUCUUCUGAAGAGACAUGCCUUAUAAAGAUUACAGAUUUUGGACAAUCCAAGAUUCUUGGAGAAACUUCUCUUAUGAAAACAUUAUGUGGUACUCCCACGUAUCUUGCUCCUGAGGUUCUAAAUUCACUUGGGACUGCUGGAUACAGCCGAGCUGUGGACUGCUGGAGUUUAGGAGUUAUUCUUUUUGUAUGCUUGUGUGGAUAUCCACCAUUUAAUGAGCAAAAUACUCAACUCUCUCUGAAAGAUCAAAUCACUCGCGGAGAAUACACAUUCAUUCCAAAAGAAUGGAAGCAUGUAUCAGACAUGGCUCUGGAUCUUGUGAAGAAGCUGUUAGUAGUGGAACCAAGCAAACGUCUUACAACAGAGGAAGCCUUAGAACAUCCUUGGCUUCAGGUGAUGUCCACUGCCUGCUUGGAAGGACAACAUCCAAUAUGUUCAGUUCUAGAUAUCACACACGUUGAAUACUACCACCAAAAGAGCUCCUUGAGUCCUGUUACUGUGAGUAGUGAGAAGGAGUUACUGGCUCUCAGUCCCUCUUGUGUUGUCUGAUGAGGAUAUGAAGAGUACAUUUCAACAGCUACUUGCUCAGACACGUGCCAGUAUGAAUCCACCACAAACAUCAAAAAUGCCAACCACAAGAAAGCGUC